GACGAACGCUGGCGGCGUGCUUAACACAUGCAAGUCGAACGGGAUGAUCUUAAAGCUUGCUUUUAGAGAAUCUAGUGGCAAACGGGUGAGUAACACGUAGACAACCUGCCGACAGGAUGGGGACAACAUUCCGAAAGGAAUGCUAAUACCGAAUGAAGUCAGAGGAGGGCAUCCUCCUCUGAUGAAAGAUGGCCUCUUUUUAUGCUAUCACCUGUUGAUGGGUCUGCGUCUGAUUAGCUAGUUGGUGAGGUAACGGCUCACCAAGGCGACGAUCAGUAGCCGGUCUGAGAGGAUGAACGGCCACAUUGGGACUGAGACACGGCCCAGACUCCUACGGGAGGCAGCAGUGGGGAAUCUUCCGCAAUGGGCGCAAGCCUGACGGAGCAACGCCGCGUGAGUGAAGAAGGUCUUCGGAUCGUAAAGCUCUGUUGACGGGGACGAACGUGCGGAGUGCGAACAGCGCUUUGUAAUGACG
rnacentral:rRNA from 1 species